GUAGGGAAUCUUCCACAAUGGACGAAAGUCUGAUGGAGCAACGCCGCGUGAGUGAAGAAGGUCUUCGGAUCGUAAAACUCUGUUGUUAGAGAAGAACGUGCAUGAUAGUAACUGAUCAUGUAAUGACGGUAUCUAACCAGAAAGCCACGGCUAACUACGUGCCAGCAGCCGCGGUAAUACGUAGGUGGCAAGCGUUGUCCGGAUUUAUUGGGCGUAAAGGGAACGCAGGCGGUUUUUUAAGUCUGAUGUGAAAGCCUUCGACUUAACCGAAGAAUAGCAUUGGAAACUGGAAGACUUGAGUGCAGAAGAGGAGAGUGGAAUUCCAUGUGUAGCGGUGAAAUGCGUAGAUAUAUGGAGGAACACCAGUGGCGAAAGCGGCUCUCUGGUCUGUAACUGACGCUGAGGUUCGAAAGCGUGGGUAGCAAACAGGAUUAGAAACCCGGGUAGUCC
rnacentral:rRNA from 1 species